rnacentral:lncRNA from 1 species
GGCGAUCGUAACUGUCAAGCCCGAUGCGUCAUAGCGGUCCCACGUGAUACGAACAUCCGUCGGGAACCUCAGAUGUCCACCCCGUCCUGUGUCAACGCCGAGACGCAUGUUAAGAUCGGCGUAAUAGGCCCCGCGGUGGUGAGAACAGAAGAGCUACUAACCACCGAGUCAUAAAAAACGAACCACGAGACAAACAAGACUAACUCGAGGGUUCAGGGUCUUCUUAAUAAUCCCUUCCUCCAGGGCUUGUACACACGUCCCACUUAGAUCAAAUGGCAAAAAUAACGGUCUGGAAACCCCUGGAAGGAGAAAGACCUGCAAAACCAACCCUCAUUAGUUCCAGCAACACUCCGCCGCCCACACCAACCUCGCCUUGGAAACGUGUUGUGCUACAUCUCGCGCCGGCAUCCUGGUGAACACCCACGCUGAUGCUAGGACAUGAUACCCCGAACCGAGAUCAGGAAACUUCGCUCGAAUGCACCUGAGUCGUCACGCGUGCAUACUUUUUUUUCUCGUGUACUAUCACUCAAAAUA